CUCUAUGUCCGUGUGUCCUAAGUUUCCGUGUCCAAGCCCGAGGUCUCCCCACGUGACCCCGUGGUGCACGUGGCAGGAGGCUCCCUGCGUCUGCGCUGCCUCGUGCACCAGGGCUCCCCUCCCAUCUUCUACUCGUGGCUCAGGGGGGACGCGAGCUCGGGGGGGAACCUCACAGCGGCCGGGGUCCACACGGAGACGUGGACCCUGCACGACGCUCGGCACGGGGACAGAGUCGCCUGUGAGGUCUCAAAAACCGCGGGCACGGGAGAGACAAAUACGACGACGGAGAGGAGCGACGUCGUGACGGUGACGACAGCGGCGCCCGGAGAUGGAAACGACAUUCACACCCUUCCUCAUUACACCUACUGGGUUCCUCUCCUCAUAGUCACAUUGCUGGUUCUCAUCGCAAUCCCACUAUACUGCCGUCGCCUUAAAGAGCGUCGACAAGCAGCUGCUGAGUACGACUCGUCAUCACCACCACCACCUCCUCCUCUUGAUUACGAGGUGAGUUCACCUUUACCCGGGUACGGAUUCCGAACGAAUACAGCAUUAGUUAUAAGGUCGCACUCAUUACACACACAAAGCGCUUGCCACAUAUGAAACACAUUACCUCGCUGAUCUCAGCACU